rnacentral:lncRNA from 1 species
UCGACCAACAAUGGUUGAUAAGCCAUUUAGUUUGGUUGGAGUUAUAUUGGUGUGUACCUUAUACAUUUUUUGUUCUCUUGUGCAAUAGGUUAUUACAACUUAUGCAUAACUAUGUUUGCUUCAUUGAUUCAUUAUUUCCUUAUUGCCUGCCCAGUUUGGUACGUAUUUCAGAUUUACAUUUCGGGUUAGGAUGCGUGUGCUGGAGCCUAGAGUUGAUUACAUCAUGGUGAACAGGCAUACACAAUUCCUAGACAACCGAUGUUUUUUGUUGUAUUAACCUAUGGGUGUAACCAACAAUUAAGCCCCGGUUUAUGUACCCGCUACCGGAUGGAAUCAGUGGUGAAAAAAAAGACGUUGCCACAACAUCAAGAUGCGCGUGCUUUUGUAGUACACAAAAGUUCAGUUGGGUUUAUAAUUUUUGUGAAAGUAGUAUGCUUAUAGUUGUAAUAGUCUUUGUUACAUGAAAACAAACGAGUUUAUUAGUUUAUAUCAUAUGACAUUUUGUAUCUAAAUGUUAUGUAUUCAUUUGUAUUGUUAAUAUGUAACAUCCAUUAACGGGUUUGUCUAUAUUAUAAACGUUAAUAUGUAACAACCAUUAACGGGUUCGUCUAUAUUAUAAACGCUUUGACGUGCGGGAACAUAAUCCUAGUUAUAC